rnacentral:lncRNA from 1 species
AACAACUUCUCCGAUUACACAGUCUCCAGAGGAGAUUACACUGAUGGUUCACACAACUACAGCGAGUCCCCUGCUGUCAUCAAAAGUCACAGAGCAGAAGCCGCGUGAAACCACAUUAAUAUCAGUGCUAAAUACAACACAAACUGGAGAGGAGGAGCUCCCCUAAACUCUGUAAGAGAGACAUUCAAGUGUGUAGAAACUGUGAAGGGUAAAAGAGGGGGAGGAUCUGACUGGCCGGCAUUACUUUGGGAAUGAUGUCUUUCGUCCAUGCUGCCUCCACCACGACUAGCGUUCAGUAUGCUGCAGUGCCUUUGAUAGAUUGAGAAGAACCUCCAGCACUCUUUGAGGAGAGAUCAGCCCAGUAUAAACAUAAAGAACAGAUCUUGUAAUGUGCUGUUUUUACACUUACUGAACAAAUACAAGCUAAAUCAUCAAUAAUCCAUAUAAAAGUGACAACACAAAACACUCAUGAAUGGUUCGUGACAUUAUUCUAAGUUGUUUUUUUAUAGAGAAUCAAAUCAUUUGCCCUGACAG